rnacentral:rRNA from 1 species
UGGGGAAUUUUGGACAAUGGGCGCAAGCCUGAUCCAGCCAUGCCGCGUGCAGGAUGAAGGCCCUCGGGUUGUAAACUGCUUUUGUACGGAACGAAAAGCCUCUUUCUAAUAAAGAGGGGUGAUGACGGUACCGUAAGAAUAAGCACCGGCUAACUACGUGCCAGCAGCCGCGGUAAUACGUAGGGUGCGAGCGUUAAUCGGAAUUACUGGGCGUAAAGCGUGCGCAGGCGGUCUUGCAAGACAGUGGUGAAAUCCCCGGGCUCAACCUGGGAACUGCCAUUGUGACUGCAAGGCUGGAGUACGGCAGAGGGGGAUGGAAUUCCGCGUGUAGCAGUGAAAUGCGUAGAUAUGCGGAGGAACACCGAUGGCGAAGGCAAUCCCCUGGGCCUGCACUGACGCUCAUGCACGAAAGCGUGGGGAGCAAACA